rnacentral:rRNA from 1 species
AGAGUUUGAUCCUGGCUCAGAGCGAACGUUAGCGGCAGGCCUAACACAUGCAAGUCGCACGAGAAAAGGGCUUCGGCCCCCAGUAAAGUGGCGGACGGGUGAGUAACGCGUGGGCAAUGUACCCUCCGGCGGGGGAUAACAACCCGAAAGGGUUGCUAAUACCGCAUCCGUCGAGAGCUUCUUCGGAGGCUCUCGGGAAAGGUGGCCUCUUCAUGAAAGCUACCACCGGAGGAUCAGCCCGCGCCCCAUCAGCUAGUUGGCGGUGUAAAAGACCACCAAGGCAACGACGGGUAGCUGGUCUGAGAGGAUGAUCAGCCACACUGGAACUGAGACACGGUCCAGACUCCUACGGGAGGCAGCAGUGGGGAAUAUUGGGCAAUGGGCGAAAGCCUGACCCAGCCAUGCCGCGUGAGUGAUGAAGGCCUUCGGGUCGUAAAGCUCUGUGGGGAGGGAAGAAAAUACCUUGGCUAAUAUCCAAGGGAACUGACGGUACCUCCUAGCAGA